rnacentral:rRNA from 1 species
AAAAGUUACAUAUAAGUAUAUAACGGAUACCUAGACUGGUACUUCCGACGAAGGACGUUGAAAGCUUACGAAAAGCUUCGGGGAGCGAGCAAUCACGCUAUGAUCCGGAGAUCUCCGAAUGGGGAAACCCAUCCCGCUUGCGGGAUACCCUGUGCCCAAAACCAUUAAGCACAGGGAGGGAAGUCGGCGAACUGAAAUAUCUCAGUAGCCGGAGAAAAUAAAUCAAUAGAGAUUCCCUGAGUAGCGACGAGCGAAAAGGGAACAGCCCAAACCUCAAUUUAUUGAGGGGUUGUAGGACUUCAAUAUCUGUGUUGUUAUGCAUAAGAAAAGACUUUGGAAAGAGUCGCCAUAGAGGGUGAUAGCCCCGUAUCUGAAAUGCAUUUCGCACGGUAGAAUGUUCCUGAGUAGGGUCGGACACGAGAAAUCCGGCUUGAAUCUGGGAGGACCACCUUCCAAGGCUAAAAAGAGUACCAGAUCGAUAGUGAACAAGUACCGUGAGGGAAAGGUGAAAAGAACCCCGGGAAGGGGAGUGAAAUAGAUCUUGAAAUUAUAUACUUUCAAAGAGUGGGAGCCCGUUUACGGGUGACCGCGUGCCUUUUGUAGAAUGAGCCAACGAGUUAGUCGUAUGGGGUAGGUUAAGCCAGUUACAGGCGGAGCCAGAGCGAAAGCGAGUCCGAUAAGGGCGUUUAUCUCAUGCGCUAGACCCGAAACCAGGUGAGCGAACCAUGGGCAGGUUGAACUCAGCUUAACCGCUGGGGGAGGACCGAACCACCGAGUGCAGCAAAACUCUUGGAUGACCUGUGGUUAGUGUUGAAAUUACCAUCGAACCUGGAGAUAGCUGGUUCUCUCCGAAAUAUAUUUAGGUAUAGCCUCUUGUUUUUAGCAUCGGGGGUAGAGCACUGUUUGGGGAAGGGCGGUAAACAACUGUACCGACUCCUAGCAAACUUCGAAUACCGAUGUGAUUAUCAAGGGAGUCAGUCUGCGACAGCGAAGUGCCGUAGACGCGAGGGAAAGAGCCCAGAUCACCAGCUAAGGUCCCUAAUGUUAUCUGAGUGGUAAAGGAGGUAGAAUUGUAUAAACAGCCAGGAGGUUGGCUUAGAAGCAGCCACCCUUUAAAAAGUGCGUAAUAGCUUACUGGUCGAACGAUUCUGCGCCGAAAAUCUAACGGGGCAAAGAUAGCAACCGAAGCUGUGAAUUCUAAUUUAUUAGAAUGGUAGGAGAGCGUUGUGGGAGCAUUGAAGCGGAGCUGCGAGGCUUUCCGUGGAGCGACCACAAGUGAGAAUGUUGGCAUGAGUAACUUUAAAGAGGUGAAAACCCUCUUCGUCGAACACCCAAGGUUUCCGAUCCACUGGCAGUCAGGGUCGGGUUAGUCGGUCCUAAGGCGAGGCUGAAAAGCGUAGUCGAUGGACAUCUGGUUAAUAUUCCAGAACCGUAGAAAGAUGUGAUGGCGUGACGCAUGGGGAAAAUUGGCUUCCGGUAAAUGAAUUCCGGGGCAAGCAGUAAGCUUAUGAUUUGGUAGGAAAAUCCGCCAGAUUUCGCGAGCUGUGAUGCAUAUAUGCUUUGGCGCGAGCCAGAGAUAAAGUCAUGAUUCGUGUGCCAAGAAAAGCGUCUAAACUUAGUCUUUCUAUGACCGUACCGCAAACCAACACUGGUGGGUGGGUUGAGUAUACUCAGACGAACGGGAUAACUGAGCUUAAGGAACUCGGCAAUACAGCGUCCGUAACUUCGGGAUAAGGACUCCCCGCACCUUUUUGUGCCAUGAUUUUUGUCAUGAACACAGGAAGACGCCGAGAAACCUUUUUGUAAUUCGACUUUAAUCGGACACAAAAAGGUGCGGGGCGCAGUGAAAGAUGCCAUGCAACUGUUUAUCAAAAACACAGGUCCGUGCUAACUCGCAAGAGGAUGUAUACGGGCUGACCCCUGCCCAGUGCCAGAAGGUUAAGAGGAGUGGUUCACGCUACGAAUUGAAGCCCUGGUGAACGGCGGCCGUAACUAUAACGGUCCUAAGGUAGCGAAAUUCCUUGUCGG